UCUGCCUUGGAGCCAGCUGAUUCUGGAACCUCUACAAACUGAGAAGUCCCUGAAUAAACUAGAAGAAGCCUUUGAGGGCUGGGAUGCAGAGAACAAAGAAAUACCACAACCUGCUUGCUGGACAUCAAAACCCUGGCAGUGGAAAAUGUUCCCCUACACUAUUCUCAUGGCAAAACUUGUAUCAGUCUCUGGAUUUAAAUGUCUAUGGUAUUUGUCUUUUGGAGCUUCUCCUGACAGCAGGAACUUUUCUUUUUGUUCUUUCUAAUAAACCACUCCCAGCCCA